CCUGUGUGUACACAUGUGUGAGUGCACGUGCAUGCCUGCAUACACACACACACACACACACACACACACACACACACACACACACACACACACA
rnacentral:pre_miRNA from 14 species